rnacentral:rRNA from 1 species
CUAGACGAGUAGGCGCACGGGUUGAGUAACACGUACACAUCUAGCUUAUACUAGGGGCAUACCCUCGGGAAACUGAGAAUAAUUCCCCAUAACAUAUUGAAAAGGCAUCUUUUUAAUAUUAAAACUCCGGUGGUAUAAGAUGAGUGUGCGUCUGAUUAGCUAGUUGGUAAGGUAACGGUUACCAAGGCUACGAUCAGUAACUGGUCUGAGAGGAUGAUCAGUCACACGGACACUGAGUACACGGGUCCGACUCCUACGGGAGGCAGCAGUAGGGAAUAUUGGACAAUGGGCGCAAGCCUGAUCCAGCCAUCCCGCGUGAAGGAUUAAGGCCCUCUGGGUUGUAAACUUCUUUUCUCUGGGAAUAAAAACUCCGAUGCUUCGGAGCUUGAAGGUACCAGAGGAAUAAGCACCGGGUUAACUCCGUGCCAGCAGCCGCGGUAAUACGGAGGGUGCACAGCGUUAUCCGGGAUUCCACUGGGGGUUCCAAANAGGGGGAGCGUAACGGUGGGCUCUCAGAAAGUCCGGUCGGUCGGAACAUNCUCCNACAGGGUUUUAACUGGUUGGAAACUUGGCCAUUGGAAUCACUGGCAGGGCUUCCUG